CCUACGGGAGGCAGCAGUGGGGUAUAUUGGACAAUGGGGGGAACCCUGAUCCAGCGACGCCGCGUGAGUGAAGAAGUAUUUCGGUAUGUAAAGCUCUGUCAGCAGGGAAGAAAGAAAUGACGGUACCUGACCAAGAAGCCCCGGCUAACUACGUGCCAGCAGCCGCGGUAAUACGUAGGGGGCAAGCGUUAUCCGGAAUUACUGGGUGUAAAGGGAGCGUAGACGGUUAAGUAAGUCUGGAGUGAAAGGCCGGGGCCCAACCCCGGGACUGCGCUGGAAACUAUUGAACUUGAGUGCAGGGGAGGUAGGCGGAAUUCCUAGUGUAGCGGUGAAAUGCGUAGAUAUUAGGAGGAACACCAGUGGCGAAGGCGGCUUACUGGACUGUAACUGACGUUGAGGCUCGAAAGCGUGGGGAGCAAACAGGAUUAGAUACCCUUGUAGUC
rnacentral:rRNA from 1 species